GAGCGGUAACAGGUGUAGCAAUACAUGCUGACGAGCGGCGAACGGGUGAGUAAUGCUUGGAAUCUUCCCAGUAGUGGGGAAUAACCAGUCGAAAGAUUGGCUAAUACCGCAUACGUCUGUAAAGGGAAAGCGGGGGCUCGUAAGACCUCGCGCUAUUGGAUGAGCCAAAGUCGGAUUAGCUAGUUGGUGGGGUAAUGGCCUACCAAGGCGACAAUCCGUAGCUGGUCUGAGAGGACGACCAGCCACACCGGAACUGAGACACGGUCCGGACUCCUACGGGAGGCAGCAGUGGGGAAUAUUGGACAAUGGGGGCAACCCUGAUCCAGCGACGCCGCGUGUGUGAAGAAGGCCCGCGGGUUGUAAAGCACUUUUAGUGGGGACAAAAAGCUACGGAUUAACACCCUGUGGUCUUGAUUUAACCCACAGAAAAAGCACCGGCUAACUCUGUG
rnacentral:rRNA from 1 species